UUUUAUUAAAUCAUCUUUAAUAUUAACAAAAUAAAAAGUUUCAAAAUAUAACAACCCUCAAAAGUGUUUCAUUUCUUACAUACAGUAGAUCUAUAGUGUGUGUCGUCUGCUCUGCUCCUACAAGUGACACCUUUUAGAAAUUGCACAUUAAACCCACAUACAAUAAAAGAGACAUUCAAGUCCUCACAAAUAAUUCAAACUGUAAUCCUAUUUUCAUAUUCUUAUCCAAAAAUCAUCUAUUGUACAGGCAACAGUGUGUACAUUUGUAUAUAUCUCUUUUCUAUCCAUGUAAUAGUGUGUUACGAUUUUACCGAUUAAGACAAAAUGGUUUAUCCAUAAUAUUCGUGGCAGAAUCUUAAAUUAUUAUAAAUUAUAAAUUACUUGUCAGCUGGGUUUUUUCUCCGGGCUUUGCCUAAAUGGGUUCAAUUAAAUGUUGAAAAAAAAAAUCUACUCAACUGUCUAGACAGAUACAAAUCAACACUGUCAAUCAAGUCCCUGGUGCAUAAUACAUAUAAUGCACCUUGCCACUUGUAGGGAAUAGGAAAUUGAGUAAGGAGUAGUGUGUAGGGAAGAGUAUGUAAAGAAUAGUAGUAGGGAAUGGAGUAACGAGUAGGGAAGAGUAAAUAAGGAAUAUUAAGUUAGGUAUAGUAGUAAGGAAUGGUGAGUAGGGAUUAGUGAGUAAGGAAUAGGGAGUAGGGCAGAGUAAGUAAGGAACAGUAGUAGGGAUAGUGAGUAAGGAAUAGUGAGCAGGGAAGAGUGAGUAAGUAAGUAAUUAGUGAGUAGGAAAUAGUGAGUAGGGUGUAAUGAAGAGUAAGUAAGGAAUAGUCAGUAGGAUUAGGAAAAUAGGGAACAGUGAGUAGGGAAGAGUAAAUAAGGAAUAGCGAUUAGGAAAUAGUGAGCUGGGAAUACUGUAGAGUAAGGAAUAGUGAGUAGAAAACUGAGUAUGGUAGGCGGUAGGGAAGGUAGGGUGUGGGGAAUAGUGAGUAAGGAGUAGGGAAUAUUGAGUAAGAAGUAUGGAGUGGGGAUAGUGAGUAAGGAGUAGGGAAUAUUGAGUAGGGAGUGAGGAAUAUUGAGUAGGGAGUGGGAAGUAG
ensembl:lncRNA